CCUUCGGUAGCUCAGUUGGUAGAGCAGUGGACUGUAGAUCCAUUUGUCAUUGGUUCGACUCCGAUUCGAAGGA